UUCUCCGCGGCCCCGCACGCCUCUGACCAAUCCUAGAGCACAAGGAAGGCUGAGGGCCAAUCAGAAUAUCCAGAAGUACAGCGAGGGGGUGGGACAAAAGUGGUGUUAACAGAAACUGGUUCCCUACAGAAACGCUCAGCCAAGGUGAGCAGGUUCCAGGUCGACGUGUGCAAGGAGCUGAUGGAAAGGGAGAGGCAAUGCUUGAGGUUGGAGACAGUGAACUAACAGGCAGCGCGUGUAUUCAUUUCAUUUGAAAACAGGUCACGAUGCAUUUUCUCCCUUUGGCUGUGCUAGGGGUUGAACACGAAGACGUUCAUCUGAAGCUACACCCCUCCCAUUUUUGAGACAAACGCUUGCUGAGUAGUUCAUCCUACUUGUUCAGGGCCACCACAUAGCUGAGAUCAUUCGAAUACCCUACCGUGCCCAAAAGACAUUUUUAAAUAAUUGUAUUUAAAAGCUUUGAAAUUAAACUAGCACUUUAAAAUUAUAUUUUCAAGUUGGAUGUAGUAGCUUCUGCCUUUUAUUCCAACACUCAGGUGGCAUUGGCAGUGGCGGGCAGAUCUUCAGAAGUUCAAGGCCAGCCGGACCGGUUCCGGACCAGACACGGCUGCAUAAAAAAAUUUUUUUUCACUCAUUCAUCAUUUUGCUAUUUUUGUUUGUUUGUUUGUAUACAGGAUGUCACCAUGCAACUUGUUACAGAAUUUGCCUCUUCCUCCCUCCUGCUGGGAUUAAAGGCUUGGGUCACCAUGGCCUAGCCUUAUUCUGUUUUUGUCAGGACAAAAGUAAUGUUUUCCUUCAACAUCUCACAGAUGCCAUUUGCAGACAGGUCUCUUUGCAAGUGCCACAUCUGUAGUGAAACAAGAGAAGACCACCUCCUGCGGGUUUCUCUGUGUAGCCUUGGCUGUUCUGGACUCACUUUGUAGACCAGGCUCGUCUGGAACUCGCAGAGAUCUGCCUACCUCUGCUCCCCGAAUGGAAUUAGUCGAAUUCUGCGAACUUUGAGGGCCUUUCGGAGAAGACGUGGCUGCUUGGAGGAGGACUGCUGGCUGCUGGCUCGUCCUCCUGCUGCAUUUGCUGUUUGCUGAUUUACCAGUUAUCUGGACUUGCCCCCAUCCUACGACCCUACCCAGUGGGAAGUAGCAAAAAGAAGUCCACCCCCUGUCCCCGCUAACCUUCUUUCCCUCCUACCCGGUGUUAGAGGCUUGGAAGGGAGAAGGAAAGAAGCAUGUAAGAGCCCUAAAUGAAGUAGGUUUUAUAAAAAAAUCUAGAUCAACACCUUUCUGUUCUGUUCUCUCUGGCUUAUUUCGGCUCCCCGACUGUUAGAGGGGUAGACUGUUAGUCCCCCCUCCAUUCCUGGUGACAGCCUUUUGGAGAA